GAUGAACGCUAGCGGCAGGCUUAAUACAUGCAAGUCGAGGGGCAGCGCGGGUAGCAAUACCUGGCGGCGACCGGCAAACGGGUGCGGAACACGUACGCAACCUUCCCAUAACUGGUGAAUAGCCCUCCGACAGGAGGAUUAAUACACCGUAACAUAACGAAGAGGCCUCUUUUUGUUAUUAUAGUAGCAAUACGGUUUUGGCUGGGCGUGCGCCUGAUUAGGUAGUUGGCGGGGUAACGGCCCACCAAGCCUGCGAUCAGGAACUGGUGUGAGAGCACGACCAGUCACACGGGCACUGAGACACGGGCCCGACUCCUACGGGAGGCAGCAGUAAGGAAUAUUGGUCAAUGGACGAAAGUCUGAACCAGCCAUGCCGCGUGAAGGAUUAAGGCCCUCUGGGUUGUAAACUUCUUUUAUCUGGGACGAAAAAAGGGCAUUCUUGCUCACUUGACGGUACCAGAGGAAUAAGCACCGGCUAACUCCGUGCCAGCCGCCGCCGUAA
rnacentral:rRNA from 1 species